rnacentral:ncRNA from 1 species
UGAUAGCGAUGAAGCGUGAGGUUGCUGCCGACGCAAAAACAUAAGCAAAGGCAGGUUUUCCGUGGAGCGAAUGUCAAGUUAGGAAACUGGCGACAA